rnacentral:rRNA from 1 species
UCUACGGGUGGCAGCAGUGAGGAAUAUUGGUCAAUGGGCGCGAGCCUGAACCAGCCAUGUAGCGUGAAGGAUGACUGCCCUACGGGUUGUAAACUUCUUUUAUAAAGGAAUAAAGUGAGGCACGUGUGCCUUUUUGUAUGUACUUUAUGAAUAAGGAUCGGCUAACUCCGUGCCAGCAGCCGCGGUAAUACGGAGGAUCCGAGCGUUAUCCGGAUUUAUUGGGUUUAAAGGGAGCGUAGAUGGGUUGUUAAGUCAGUUGUGAAAGUUUGCGGCUGAACCGUAAAAUUGCAAUUGAUACUGGCAGUCUUGAGUGCAGUUGAGGUAGGCGGAAUGCGUGGUGGAGUGGUGAAAUGCUUAGAUAUCACGAAGAACACCGAUUGCGAAGGCAGCUUACUAAGCUGCCACUGACAUUGAUGCACGAAAGUGUGGGGAGCAAACAGGAUUAGAUACCCUUGUAGUC